rnacentral:rRNA from 1 species
AUUGAACGCUGGCGGCAUGCUUUACACAUGCAAGUCGAACGGCAGCGCGGGCUUCGGCCUGGCGGCGAGUGGCGAACGGGUGAGUAAUGCAUCGGAACGUGCCCAGUAGUGGGGGAUAGCCCGGCGAAAGCCGGAUUAAUACCGCAUACGACCUGAGGGUGAAAGCGGGGGACCGAAAGGCCUCGCGCUAUUGGAGCGGCCGAUGUCGGAUUAGCUAGUUGGUGGGGUAAAGGCUUACCAAGGCGACGAUCCGUAGCUGGUCUGAGAGGACGACCAGCCACACUGGGACUGAGACACGGCCCAGACUCCUACGGGAGGCAGCAGUGGGGAAUUUUGGACAAUGGGGGCAACCCUGAUCCAGCCAUGCCGCGUGCGGGAAGAAGGCCUUCGGGUUGUAAACCGCUUUUGUUCGGGAAGUAAUCCUCUGGGCUAAUACCCCGGGGGGAUGACGGUACCGGAAGAAUAAGCACCGGCUAACUACGUG